UUCCCUCCUUGCAUCCGUUGGCUCCCCUCCCCACCCUCCCUGCUCCAGUCCAUCUCUCUGUUCGCCUCUUCAGAGGCCUGGUCUGGCGCCGGCUGUCUCCGGACCAGCCUGAGGCCUCUGGGGCAGGACAGCUUGGCUUUUUCCACCCUCCGCCUCCCCCAGCACCUCCAGCCUCCUAGGACACUCUGCUCCAUUGUCUGGCCAGCUGCUCCAUAGUCUGAUGUCACCCCCUGGACAGUGGGGCCAGAGAGCAGGGACCAGGGGCGGAACCUGAGGAAGAAAAGGGAGAACAAACACACAGCCACAUGGACAGAGCCCUGCUCUGCGGGCGGGAAAACUGAGGCUGGAGGGGGCCCGAGACUUGCCCACAGUCGCCCAGCCGCUACGUGGCAGAGUCGGGACUCGAAUGUAGGCCAUCUGCUUCUCGCAGUGUAGGACACGCAUCCAGCGCGUCGGCCACACGCGCACGCGCACAGACGGCCCGCUCUUACGACGUGCCACGUGCCACGGGUUGAGUAGGAAUCUCUGUGUCCGCCUCCCGGAUUACCCCAGGACAGGACUAUUGGCAUCCCAGUCUCCCGCAACACCCUGGCCACCCUCAACCCCACUCAGGUGAAGGGAAGACAGGACUCAGCUCCAACAUCUCCUAGACCGGACCCUCCUGGAGGUGGGACCUCUUUCCAGCACGUCUGUCGGGGGGGGGGGGUGUGCUUGGUUGUUCCCUGCCCUUCUCAAGUCUUAAUGUUACCAGAGACUUGACAGGAUGUGAAGAUGUACCCAUCCUGAUCAUUCGUUUGCGGUCUUGGUGUGAAGGAUGCACCCCGUUCUGUCUGAAGAUGGGAACUGUUUUGUCUCCUUUCUGUGUGGGCAGCCAGGAAACAGGGGGGACUGGGGCAUUGGCAGGGACCCUCAGCAAGAGAGAAGCACAGCCCCCCCAAAGAGGGAAGGGACGCUUAACUGAUGACAGCUCGGAUCAGGCACUUUAUUGUUUUUUUUUUUUUUUUUUUUUUUAGUUUAUUUAUUUUG